ensembl:vault_RNA Vault Vault RNA
GGGCUGGCUUUAGUUCAGCAGUUACUUCAACAAUGCUUUCUAUAGUGGAAACACUACCACUCUGCGUGGUUUGAGACCCGCGGGCGCCCUCCAGCUUUUAA